rnacentral:rRNA from 1 species
CCUACGGGUGGCAGCAGUGGGGGAUAUUGCACAAUGGGCGAAACCCUGAUGCAGCGACGCCGCGUGUGGGAAGACGGUCCUCUGGAUUGUAAACUACUGUCCUCAGGGACGAAGAUGACGGUACUUGGGGAGGAAGCUUCGGCUAACUACGUGCCAGCAGCCGCGGUAAUACGCAGGGAGCGAGCGUUGUCCGGAAUUACGGGGUGUAAGGGGAGCGUAGGCGGGGAUGAAAGUUGGGUGGCAAGACUACCGGCUCAACUGGUAGUCGCACUCAAAACUGCAGCUCUUGAGUGAAGUAGAGGCAGGCGGAAUUCCUAGUGUAGCGGUGAAAUGCGUAGAUAUUAGGAGGAACACCAGUGGCGAAGGCGGCCUGCUGGGCUUUUACUGACGCUGAGGCUCGAAAGUGUGGGGAGCAAACAGGAUUAGAUACCCUAGUAGUC